CUUUCUGACGCGUGUCCUGCUACUUAUCGAUUUCUGCGGGUUUGCCGUCGAUGCUGACAUGGGAAACCUGUCGGUGGGGCGUGCAGUAAUGGCAGGGCGAAUGCCCGUCCGCUCAUACGCUGGAGGGGAGUUUCAUCCAGCACAGCGCGAGCGGCCCGUGGGGAGGCGAGCAGGAUGGCACGUGUUAGGCG
rnacentral:snRNA from 1 species